UUGACUCAAAUUUGUAUGGAGUUAGAACAGCGCCCCUAGCGGCAAACGUAGGCAAACGUUUCAACUCCAUACAAACUUGAGUUA
rnacentral:pre_miRNA from 1 species